UGGCAGCACCAAGAAUAUUUCUGGAAGCACGUGAUGAGUUGUGUGAUGAAGAUAGAGCCCAUUGUGCUGUCUCUCCAGGACACGUUGUCUAUAAUGAUACAGAUGGCUUUUAUAGGGGCUUGAGAAAUAACUGGAAUUAUCCCACUUUACAGAGGAAGAAAUGGAAGCACAGAAAGAUGAAGGAACUUCCCCAUGUUCACACAGGUAUCCACAGUUCUAGCAGGGCAUGCAAUGGCACUGCUCGUUGUAGAAUCAGAUGGGAAAUAUGGAGUAGAAGACUUGAAGUUGAUCAUUUGAGAAAGAGAAGCCAUUCCUGGAAUCCAUAAAAACACUAUGUAAAAUGUUAAAUGGACUUAAUAAGAAAAACAGAAUUCAUCAUCUGUUUAAAUGGUGAGUGGUGAAUGGGUUUCCAUGUAUCAGGUUGCUUUAGGAAUCUGUUCUCACAGCACACAUAAGAUCAUGUAAAAUAUGCAGAGAGCACACAACAUUCUAUCAGAUCAUUGUUUCAUAGGGAUUCUUGAUUUUCUAGAUUCAUUCAAAGAUGGCCUCAGGCCCACAAAUCCCUUACUGCCACUGAAAGAUACAUACGUGGCGUUGAAGAGCAGAAAGCAAUGAAGUCCUUCUCC